GAAUGAUGAUAAGAGAAGUCUCUGAAUGACUGAUGAACAGAAGCCCUCUGCCCCACUGAUACACCUGUCACAUAAACAUUAAAAACAAAGGCAGCUGGUGGAAGCCAUUGGACUGCAGAAUCUGCUACUUGAAGCACAACACCACAGGAGGCUUUUUUUUUUUUCUCUCUGACAAUCGGGAUUAGUGCAAAAAGAGCAAAGUUCCAGGACACAUUGCUACUCCUCCUGUUCCUCUGUGAUCACACCUCACAGACUCUUGGCUCCUUUCAAGAGGCAGUAAGAUGAAUACAGUCAGCUCUACCCUUACACACUCUCGAUUCCUGAGGAAAAGAACAUGCUCUUCCUAUUGUCUAUGUCAAAUUUCUGGAUUCUGAUUAGCCUGAUUUGUCUUGCACCAAUCCUGUUCCCAGGGCAUGAAACACUUGGAUUGUCCAAGCCAGGGUCACGUUCCCAACCUGGAGGCCAGG